GCGGAAAUAGCUCAGCUGGUAGAGCAUCAGUUUCCCAAACUGAAGGUCGCGGGUUCGAACCCCGUUUUCCGCUCCA
rnacentral:tRNA from 1 species